rnacentral:rRNA from 1 species
AGCAGCCGCGGUAAUUCCAGCUCCAAUAGCGUAUAUUAAAGUUGUUGCAGUUAAAAAGCUCGUAGUUGAAUUUCGGGAUCAAUAUUUCGGUCAUGCCGUUGGUACGCACUGUUAUCAUUGAUUUCUCACCUUCUAAAGAACCGUAAUGCCAUUAAUUUGGUGUUACGGGGAAUUAGGACUGUUACCUUAGAAAAAUUAGAGUGUUUAAAGCAGGCUCACGCUUGAAUACAUUAGCAUGGAAUAAUGGAAUAGGACAUCCGAUUCUAUUUUGUUGGUUUCUAGGAUCGAUGUAAUGAUUAAUAGGGAUAGUUGGGGGCAUUAGUAUUCAAUUGUCAGAGGUGAAAUUCUUGGAUUUUAUUGAAGACUAACUACUGCGAAAGCAUUUGCCAAGGAUGUUUUCAUUAAUCAAGAACGAAAGUUAGGGGAUCGAAGACGAUCAGAUACCGUCGU